AGAGUUUGAUCCUGGCUCAGAUUGAACGCUGGCGGCAGGCUUAACACAUGCAAGUCGAGCGGUAACAGGAGAAGCUUGCUUCUCGCUGACGAGCGGCGGACGGGUGAGUAAUACUUAGGAAUCUACCUAGUAGUGGGGGAUAGCACGGGGAAACUCGUAUUAAUACCGCAUACGACCUACGGGAGAAAGGGGGGCAGUUUACUGCUCUCGCUAUUAGAUGAGCCUAAGUCGGAUUAGCUAGAUGGUGGGGUAAAGGCCUACCAUGGCGACGAUCUGUAGCUGGUCUGAGAGGAUGAUCAGCCACACCGGGACUGAGACACGGCCCGGACUCCUACGGGAGGCAGCAGUGGGGAAUAUUGGACAAUGGGGGAAACCCUGAUCCAGCCAUGCCGCGUGUGUGAAGAAGGCCUUUUGGUUGUAAAGCACUUUAAGCAGUGAAGAAGACUCCAUGGUUAAUACCCAUGGACGAUGACAUUAGCUGCAGAAUAAGCACCGGCUAACUCUGUGCCAGCAGCCGCGGUAAUACAGAGGGUGCAAGCGUUAAUCGGAAUUACUGGGCGUAAAGGGAGCGUAGGUGGCUCUAUAAGUCAGAUGUGAAAUCCCCGGGCUUAACCUGGGAACUGCAUCUGAAACUGUAGAGCUAGAGUAUGUGAGAGGGAGGUAGAAUUCCAGGUGUAGCGGUGAAAUGCGUAGAGAUCUGGAGGAAUACCGAUGGCGAAGGCAGCCUUCUGGCAUAAUACUGACGCUGAGGCUCGAAAGCGUGGGUAGCAAACAGGAUUAGAUACCCUGGUAGUCCACGCCGUAAACGAUGUCUACUAGUCGUUGGGUCCCUUGAGGACUUAGUGACGCAGCUAACGCAAUAAGUAGACCGCCUGGGGAGUACGGCCGCAAGGUUAAAACUCAAAGGAAUUGACGG
rnacentral:rRNA from 1 species